ACCUGGCUGGCUCAGUCAGUAGAGCAUGAGACUCUUGAUCUCAGAGUUGUGAAUUUGAGCCCCACGUUGGGUA
rnacentral:tRNA from 1 species